AUUGUCACAAACAUUAGACAGAACUAAAAUCCCAAACUCUCUUCUGAAGCAGAAGGAGAGAAGUGGAAUUAGAAGAAGAGGUUUAUGCAAUAGAAGCUACGUUAAGAGAACCCCGUUCUGUGCCUAUCUCCCUGGAUAGUCACACUCGGAAAAGUUACUGCUUUGCACAGGGUCCUGCUGCUCAAGCAAUGAGGAGAGAAAAAGAAUGUUAUUUACCAUCUAUACAGGAGGGAUGUAGAAGACCCACAUUGCUGGCAGUCUGUGUGAUCUGAGGAAUGAACAUGGCACAUGUGACACAAAGCACAGUGGGGGUCCUGUUCCUGGGGCUGGAGAGCCGAGAGCUGGAUCCGGUUUGUGGCUCCUGCAGGAACAACUGAACAGCGAGGCGCUCCUCCCUGCAGCCGGAAAGAGGAAACGGGAAACGAAAAGGGAAAAGGGAAAAGGAAAAAGAAAAGAAAGAGGAAGUUCGCACAGGCACUUCUGCCCAGCGCCUGGUUUCAGCGGGCACCCAGGGAGCAUGUCUCCUAUUUGUAGGCAGGGAGCGCCGCCUGCCGCAGGAGAAAUGGCUGUGGCAUAGCAGGAAAGAAAGGAGCAGCUCCAUCCCCAGCCCUGGAGACACAUGCUUAUACUGUUUUGUGCCAUCUGGCACAUGCUGCCCAAAGAGUAUCGUGAUUUUGGAAUAACAUGAGGAUGAACCAAAACAUGAAAACGAAAACGGUGACUAUACUCCAGCUGAAACACCUCAGACCUGUCUCCUUGACUUCAGCCAGUGAUACACCAUGUGCAGCAUGAUGGUACACCUCUCAUACCCAGUGUGUUGCAGCUCUCAGCCUGGGUUAUACCCUAGGCCCAUAAGGUAAAAUACACAGGGAGUUCGUGACAUUAUCCUCAGCAGUUUCAGACAUGUGCCUGUUUAAAAGGUGCUUCCUGCAGGCUGUGGAGCAGCACAUCUCAACAACUGCGCAGUGAUCACAACUGCCUGUGGGUACCCUCAUGCCAAGAGGCUUUCGUCUAAUUCCCACCCCUCUGCCACCACUCAGUGCAUGGUCUGUAUUUACACAGACCUGCUCUGAGUACACAAUGGUCACUGCAGAAUUAUGUCUGAAAAAUCUCAUUCGCCUGUCUGACAGCUGCAACUGCAAGGUAUAAAGAAGAUACAUGUCCCCCACUCACCUAUUGCCUUGAUCUCACCUCUAGGACAUUUCUUACUCGGUAGGCUGAAUAGGUCCAUUUUCUUGACAGCCUCUCUUUCCUGGAAUAGAAAUGAAGCUACACAGUGCUCCAGACCACACAAAGAACUGUAAGUCUCUAUGCCCAAACAUCUAAGUAUUUACACAUACAAGCACUAAAAGCUUCUUCAUAACUUCUCCGCUCCAGAAGGUAAAGGACAGAAGAGAGGCUGACCAUGACUUAGCUUAAAAGCAGCUAAACUUUUCACCCCAAGGGCAUUGCAGCUCCAGAGCUCCUCCGCGGCAUUAUACAGACGAGGAGCUCUUCACAGAGCUCUUCACAGAACGCUUACUGCACUGUGCUGCAGACAAGAGGCUCAGAUCACUCAGCAAAUGAAGAUCUCAGAACACGCUUAAUUUAAAAGCUAAAUGUAGUACCAGGAUGAUGCUUGACAGUGUUCCUUUAAUAAAAAAGUUAUGGUAUUUGCCUGAAGAUUUAUACCUUUCAAAAGAAAAUUUGGUAUCUGAUGAUAUCUCUUUUUUGAGUACCUAUGCUUUCCAUUCCUACAAUCCCUUUACCCACUGUAAAAUCCCAAAGGCUGUAUUAACUUGAAUUAAGUGAGAACCUUUGAUAUGUUUUGAAUUUGUGCGGGAGACAGUGUUGAUAAUGCAGGGAUGUUCUGUUACUGCUGAACAGUGCUUCAACAGAAUCAAGGCCUCUUCUGCUGAGGCCUCUGCUGCUCACAGCCCCUACCAGUGAGGAGGCUGGCAAUGCACAAGGAGCUGGGAGAGGACACAGCCAGGACAGCUGACCUCAGCUGACCCAAGGGAUAUUCCAGACCAUAUGAUGUCAUGCACGGUAUAUAAAGCUGGGGGAAGAAGCAGCAAGAAGGGGGUGUUUGGGUUGAUGGUAUUUGUUUUCCCAGGUAACCAUUAUGUGUGAUGGAGCUCUGCUCUUCUGGGAUGGCUUAGUACCUGCCUGACCAUUGGAAGGGGUGAAUGAAUUCCUUGUUUCCCUUUA